ACGAACGCUGGCGGCGUGCCUAAUACAUGCAAGUCGAACGCUUCUUUCCUCCCGAGUGCUUGCACUCAAUUGGAAAGAGGAGUGGCGGACGGGUGAGUAACACGUGGGUAACCUACCCGUCAGAGGGGGAUAACACUUGGAAACAGGUGCUAAUACCGCAUAACAGUUUAUGCCGCAUGGCAUAAGAGUGAAAGGCGCUUUCGGGUGUCGCUGAUGGAUGGACCCGCGGUGCAUUAGCUAGUUGGUGAGGUAACGGCUCACCAAGGCCACGAUGCAUAGCCGACCUGAGAGGGUGAUCGGCCACACUGGGACUGAGACACGGCCCAGACUCCUACGGGAGGCAGCAGUAGGGAAUCUUCGGCAAUGGACGAAAGUCUGACCGAGCAACGCCGCGUGAGUGAAGAAGGUUUUCGGAUCGUAAAACUCUGUUGUUAGAGAAGAACAAGGACGUUAGUAACUGAACGUCCCCUGACGGUAUCUAACCAGAAAGCCACGGCUAACUACGUG
rnacentral:rRNA from 1 species